rnacentral:rRNA from 1 species
GACGAACGCUGGCGGCGUGCUUAACACAUGCAAGUCGAACGGUAAGGCCCUUCGGGGUACACGAGUGGCGAACGGGUGAGUAACACGUGGGUGAUCUGCCCUGCACUUCGGGAUAAGCCUGGGAAACUGGGUCUAAUACCGGAUAGGACCCUGGGAUGCAUGUCCUGGGGUGGAAAGCUUUUGCGGUGUGGGAUGGGCCCGCGGCCUAUCAGCUUGUUGGUGGGGUGAUGGCCUACCAAGGCGACGACGGGUAGCCGGCCUGAGAGGGUGACCGGCCACACUGGGACUGGGAUACGGCCCAGACUCCUCCGGGAGGCAGCAGUGGGGAAUAUUGCACAAUGGGCGCAAGCCUGAUGCAGCGACGCCGCGUGAGGGAUGACGGCCUUCGGGUUGUAAACCUCUUUCAGCACCGACGAAGCGCAAGUGACGGUAGGUGCAGAAGAAGGACCGGCCAACUACGUGCCAGCAGCCGCCGUAA